rnacentral:misc_RNA from 1 species
GUUCAAUCAAUAAUCUAUCUUCUUCUCGAUCUAAUUACUACUUUUUCUAGGUAUCGUUUUCGUGUUUGAUUAGUUUUCUAGGGUUUCAGUAAUGGCGCCGCCUGGAGAAAUACCGUCGAACAAUCUAUGGGUUGGUAAUAUAGCACCAGAUGUUACUGAUGCAGAUCUAACGUCUUUGUUCCAGAAAUACGGACAGCUUGAUAGUGUAACCGCUUAUUCUUCUCGCGGAUUUGGUUUUCUCUAUUUCAAAAACAUCAACGAUUCUAAGGAGGCUAAAGACGCGCUUCAGGGAUCCCUCUUCCAUGGAAAUCCUCUUAGGAUUGAAUUCGCAAAGCCGG